rnacentral:rRNA from 1 species
UACGUAGGGCGCAAGCGUUGUCCGGAAUUAUUGGGCGUAAAGAGCUCGUAGGCGGUCUGUCGCGUCUGCCGUGAAAACCCGAGGCUUAACCUCGGGCUGGCGGUGGAUACGGGCAGACUAGAGGUAGGUAGGGGAGAAUGGAAUUCCCGGUGUAGCGGUGAAAUGCGCAGAUAUCAGGAGGAACACCGGUGGCGAAGGCGGGUCUCUGGGCCGAAACUGACGCUGAGGAGCGAAAGCGUGGGGAGCAAACAGG